rnacentral:rRNA from 1 species
UACGUAGGGGGCAAGCGUUGUCCGGAUUUAUUGGGCGUAAAGAGCGUGUAGGCGGCCAGGUAGGUCCGUUGUGAAAACUCGAGGCUCAACCUCGAGACGCCGAUGGAAACCAUCUGGCUAGAGUCCGGAAGAGGAGAGUGGAAUUCCUGGUGUAGCGGUGAAAUGCGCAGAUAUCAGGAGGAACACCCGUGGCGAAAGCGGCUCUCUGGGACGGUACUGACGCUGAGACGCGAAAGCGUGGGGAGCAAACAGG